rnacentral:rRNA from 1 species
UACAGAGGUCCCAAGCGUUGUUCGGAUUCACUGGGCGUAAAGGGUGCGUAGGUGGUGAGGUAAGUCGGAUGUGAAAUCUCCGAGCUCAACUCGGAAAUGGCAUUGGAAACUACCUUGCUCGAGGGUUUGAGGGGGGACUGGAAUACUUGGUGUAGCAGUGAAAUGCGUAGAUAUCAAGUAGAACACCAGUGGCGAAGGCGAGUCCCUGGAAAACUCCUGACACUGAGGCACGAAAGCUAGGGGAGCAAACAGG